AACGAACGUUCGCGGCGCGCCUAACACAUGCAAGUCGAGCGAGAAGGGGCUUCGGCCCCGGUACAGCGGCGCACGGGUGAGUAACACGUAGGCAAUCUGCCCCUGAGUGGGGGAUAACCUUCCGAAAGGAGGGUUAAUACCGCAUGAGACCACGACCCCGCGAGGGGAUGAGGUCAAAGCCGGCCACUACACGAAAGCUGGCGCUUGGGGCGGAGCCUGCGGCCCAUCAGCAAGUUGGUAGGGUAAUGGCCUACCAAGGGGAAGACGGGUAGCUGGUCUGAGAGGAUGAUCAGCCACACUGGAACUGAGACACGGUCCAGACUCCUACGGGAGGCAGCAGUGGGGAAUCUUGCGCAAUGGGCGAAAGCCUGACGCAGCGACGCCGCGUGAGUGAUGAAGGCCUUCGGGUUGUAAAGCUCUGUGGAGGGAGACGAAUAAGGCAUGGCUAACAUCCAUGUUGAUGACGGUAUCCCUUUAGCAAGCACCGGCUAACUCUGUGCCAGCAGCCGCGGUAAUAC
rnacentral:rRNA from 1 species